rnacentral:rRNA from 1 species
UACGGAGGGUGCAAGCGUUGCUCGGAAUUAUUGGGCGUAAAGGGUAGGUAGGUGGUCUCGUUUGUCUGGGGUGAAAGCCUUGGGCUUAACUCAAGAAGUGCCCCCAGAAACGGCGAGACUAGAGUCCUGGAGAGGGUCGUGGAAUUCCCGGUGUAGCGGUGAAAUGCGUAGAGAUCGGGAGGAACACCAGAGGCGAAGGCGGCGACCUGGACAGGUACUGACACUCAACUACGAAAAGCGUGGGGGAGCAAAACAGG